GAUAUAGAAAAAGGAAGAAAAGUAAACGCCAUCAUCUUUUCUAUCUUCUCUCUCACGUCUUCCACUCUCCAUUUCCACCAAAUUUUCUUUUCUUUCAUUUUAGUCCAUUUUCCUCCAUUUUCAACCCUUUCAAGUUUUAAACUUCUAAUUUUCUUCAUAAAUUUUUAGUGAAAUCAAGAGAACAACUUCUUGACCAGCUAAGUUUUAUGUGAAGUUAGCUAAAGUUCAUAGUUGAGGAAAGAGAAAAGAAGAGCUAGGGAUUUUGAGUAAGGUUAAGAGAAUGUCAAGAGGAGUGAACAUCAAGUUGAUAAAGGCAAAGAAAUAGCAAAGGAUUGAAGGAAGAAUGAAGGAUUUCAUUUCAAUCAAUUUUGUUAUAAGUGAAGAUCGUUUUGAAGUUUUAGAAUGAAGAUCGUCUCCAACUUAUCUCAUCACAAAUCAAACUUGGAAGAUAUAGUAUGAAUCUAAAAUUUUGGGCAUUAGUUUUUGGCAUGUACAUAGGAAUAUAAUAGAAAUGUUCAUGGAUGAAUUCAAUGAAAGCUUUGGUGCUUUUGGUCCACUUUAUAAAUCUUGAAAUUGGGAUUUGUAUGUUUUGGAAUUGAGUUGAAUUAGGUGCUAUUUAAGGUUGAAAA